UACAGAGGUGGCAAGCGUUGUUCGGAAUUACUGGGCGUAAAGGGCGCGUAGGCGGUCUUCUAAGUCUUGUGUGAAAUCCCUCGGCUUAACUGAGGAACUGCACGGGAUACUGGGAGACUUGAGUUCGGGAGAGGGAAGCGGAAUUCCGGGUGUAGCGGUGAAAUGCGUAGAUAUCGAGAGGAACACCUGCGGCGAAGGCGGGUUGCUGGGCUGACACUGACGCUGAUGCGCGAAAGCCAGGGGAGCGAACGGG
rnacentral:rRNA from 1 species